CCUACGGGAGGCAGCAGUGAGGAAUAUUGGUCAAUGGGCGAGAGCCUGAACCAGCCAAGUCGCGUGAGGGAGUACUGCCCUAUGGGUUGUAAACCUCUUUUGUCGGGGAGCAAAAGCCGGACGUGUCCGGCUGUGAGAGUACCCGAAGAAAAAGGAUCGGCUAACUCCGUGCCAGCAGCCGCGGUAAUACGGGGGAUGCGAGCGUUAACCGGAUUUAUUGGGUUUAAAGGGGGCGCAGGCGGAUUUUUAAGUCAGCGGUAAAAUCGUGGGGCUCAACCCCAUCCAGCCGUUGAAACUGGGGAUCUAGAGUGUGCGAGAGGUAUGCGGAAUGCGUGGUGUAGCGGUGAAAUGCAUAGAUAUCACGCAGAACCCCGAUUGCGAAGGCAGCAUACCGGUGCACAACUGACGCUCAGGCACGAAAGCGUGGGUAUCGAACAGGAUUAGAUACCCGAGUAGUC
rnacentral:rRNA from 1 species